AGGCUUUUAAUUGAGCGCCGAAGCAAUGAAGCAAAAACAGGUUCUCCUGGCGUGUCCUGGUGCAGCAGAUGUUCCCUCCCUCAUCUGUCUGCGAUACGCCCUCCUUGCCUCGCUCGUCGACGCGACCAGCGAGGCAUUUU
rnacentral:sRNA from 1 species